AGGGGAUGUCCUGUUGGUUUCUGAGGUACUGGGUUUCUUGCUGUGUGAACUUUCGAUACACACGUCGGAAAACCUGAAGAGUCCCUUUGCUUUUCCUGGAAUUAUAUAACCAACUACAGUUUCGGAAUAUAUCAAAGCAAGUUCUUAUCAAAUACCUUAUCUCCAGGUUUGCCUUCCACAUAAAAUAUGAGUCACAAUCAGGAUCAAACUAUUGAAGUAAACUUUGUCCACACUGCAGUUUGCUCCUGCAGGACUGUGCUUCAUGUCUCCUCCAAGUCCAAAUCCAACUAGGUCUCUUGGGUUAGGCCAUGGACAGUCCUGAGUUUACUUUGGAGGUCACCCCACAGCACCUGUGUACAUCCAGAAAGAUGUGGAAAAAGAGAAUCAAGAGUGGAAACUGGGAUCAUCAUCUUCCCCUUGGAGAAAUGAGGCAUCAAUGAAAGUACACACUUAAGAAAGACCUGCUGUUCUGAGGUGCAUCCUCCCUGGGACACAUUUUCUGGGGCAGAAGUGACGCUACCCUCAAGCUCAGUGGGCUCACCAUUUUCUUCACCCCUUCUCCAGUCAGAACCAAGGGAACAGAACCAACACUCUGUUCACUCCUGAAAUCUAUGUUAACUCCA
rnacentral:lncRNA from 1 species